rnacentral:rRNA from 1 species
UACAGAGACCUCAAGCGUUAUCCGGAAUCAUUGGGCGUAAAGCGUACCGAUAGGUGGUCAUGGUAGUUUUGGGUAAAAGCCGGAAGCUCAACUUCCGCGUUUGCUCAAAAUACUCCACGACUAGAGGGGCAAAGAGGUGCUUGGAACGAAUGGUGUAGUAGUGAAAUGCGUAGAUAUCGAGAGGAACACCUGCGGCGAAGGCGGGUUGCUGGGCCGAACACGUGACGCUGGAUGCGCGAAAGCCAGGGGAGCGAACGGG